UAUAGGGUUGAAAGGACAUCGCGCAAGCUGUUCACCGCCACAACCCGAGAGUCAUACGAGUACUGAGCCAACCUUCGUUCAGCCUCAAGCCGUCGCUCACCACUCCCAAAAAAGAGAGCAGAUUGCUUCGACGAAGCACAGAACAUAUUUAGAACGGUUCACGUGGAAAGUUUUUUAGGUGUGGUAAUGAUCCUUCCCCCGAAA
rnacentral:rRNA from 1 species